AAAAGGGGGAUGAAACACAAAUCCAAUAAUUACAUCAGCACCGACGUACACUGUUGUAGCGUAGUGGAACGCCCUGCGUGCGUCGCGUUGGCUUCCUUAUCCUCUCAGGCUUCCUCUUUUGGCGAUGAAGCCCUACGGCAUAUUCCCCAUCUCCUCCCUCACGGGGCUGUGGCCCACGCAGGGCCGCCAUAGACGCUGCUGCUGCUGCUUCACCACCCACGUGCUUCCUUCGUGGUCGCAACUCCUUCCCUGUCUCCGAAGGAAAGCAGUCAUCAUCUUCGUUUCCGGUGGGCAGAGACGUCCAUGGGCGUUGACGUCCUGCAGGCGUAGCACGAGAAUUUUUAAAGAAGAAGACCCCGUUAGAUUAGCCUGCUGCAGUAGAACUACUCGAGCGGGCUAUUUGAGGAGGGUCUUUGCUUGCCGGUACCUGAGCAAGCACCUGAUGGCCAGAAACAGGCGUGAACGAAUGUAGAGGAGAGAGAGACGUCACCAGCAGCCAGAUUAGGGUUGUUUUCUUGUUCUUGGAGGUGGUCGAAAAGGACGAGCCACUGCAAUCAAAUUUAUCCGAGAGCUUUAGGAAAUAUCAAUUUUCCCGAUGGGCACUUGAAUCAUCCCGAAGACACAGACUUACAAGUGGCAUUCGCAUUUUUAGGGAGAGAAAGAGCUUAUCUCCGUUCGUGACGUUACUCCGUCGCUCGCCACCAUCAUCUAUUUCUCCGACGUAAUGAAACAUUAACACGACUCUUAAUUUACUCUACUUUAGGAAGGUAGAGGAGAGGCAGAACGACG
rnacentral:lncRNA from 1 species